rnacentral:rRNA from 1 species
UGGGGAAUUUUGGACAAUGGGCGAAAGCCUGAUCCAGCCAUGCCGCGUGCAGGAUGACGGUCCUAUGGAUUGUAAACUGCUUUUGUACAGGAAGAAACAGUUCUACGUGUAGAACCUUGACGGUACUGUAAGAAUAAGGAUCGGCUAACUCCGUGCCAGCAGCCGCGGUAAUACGGAGGAUCCAAGCGUUAUCCGGAAUCAUUGGGUUUAAAGGGUCCGUAGGCGGUUAGAUAAGUCAGUGGUGAAAGCCCAUCGCUCAACGGUGGAACGGCCAUUGAUACUGUCUGACUUGAAUUAUUAGGAAGUAACUAGAAUAUGUAGUGUAGCGGUGAAAUGCUUAGAGAUUACAUGGAAUACCAAUUGCGAAGGCAGGUUACUACUAAUGGAUUGACGCUGAUGGACGAAAGCGUGGGUAGCGAACAGGAUUAGAUACCCCAGUAGUCCCUGAGCGGGCUGGCAAGGCGCAU